AUUGAACGCUGGCGGCAGGCCUAACACAUGCAAGUCGAGCGGAUGAAGGGAGCUUGCUCCUGGAUUCAGCGGCAGACGGGUGAGUAAUGCCUAGGAAUCUGCCUGGUAGUGGGGGAUAACGUCCGGAAACGGGCGCUAAUACCGCAUACGUCCUGAGGGAGAAAGUGGGGGAUCUUCGGACCUCACGCUAUCAGAUGAGCCUAGGUCGGAUUAGCUAGUUGGUGGGGUAAAGGCCUACCAAGGCGACGAUCCGUAACUGGUCUGAGAGGAUGAUCAGUCAUACUGGAACUGAGACACGGUCCAGACUCCUACGGGAGGCAGCAGUGGGGAAUAUUGGACAAUGGGCGAAAGCCUGAUCCAGCCAUGCCGCGUGUGUGAAGAAGGUCUUCGGAUUGUAAAGCACUUUAAGUUGGGAGGAAGGGCAGUAAGUUAAUACCUUGCUGUUUCGACGUUACCAACAGAAUAAGCACCGGCUAACUUCGUG
rnacentral:rRNA from 1 species